rnacentral:lncRNA from 1 species
UACUUCUACUACUCUAUUGAACAAAAAGUUUUUGUUAGUAGGCACGCCAUUUUCUUGAAAAACAAAUUCAUCCAAGAAGGAGGUAAAAGGAGGAAUAUUGAACUUACAAAAGUUUAGAAUCUACAAACCAAUCUAGAAAUACCUAUAAUUGAACCACAAGAAGAUCUUCAAUCAGAAGUACUCAAGGAUGAGGUACAUCCAUAAUACACACCUCCUCUCCGA